ACCAAAUAUUGCAAAAAUCAUAAGUAGAGGAUAUUUCAGGAACCAAAGUCUAAUUUUCUUUCUUUCUUUUCAAUAUAUGGUUUAACGCGAAUCAUGUUUUACUUGACCACAUCCCCCAACAACCAAAAAAAUAAAAAAAAUGAAAUUGUUUGGAGGGAGUGGUAGAGUCCAAUCGAAACAAGGAAACAUACAGCUGUGUUUUAUGUAUGUACCAACUCCUGCGUUGUCACGACGCUUAUAUUACCACAAGAAAUAUACGUGGUCCACAUGGUCUCAAUAUUUUCUCAAAAAAAUGAGAGGUCACAAAUUUCACACUACACACGUGUCAAAACCUCAUUAUACGCGCUUCCUUAGACCAACACCUCUAACCCUAUAUAAAUAGGAUCCACACGUCUCCAUAAUAUUAUGUGCUUCGCUCUCUUCACAAAAAACAAAUCCUAGACCUAAUAAUUCUCUCUUCCCACUUUGCUAAUAUUCUUUGAUUCAUAAAUUCAAAGCUUUGUUCUUAUCCCCUUACAGAUCUUUUUUAUUAUUUUCAUCAUUGAUUUAACCAGGUUUGAUUAAAGAAGGUUUCAUUGAAGGAGGUCUCUCUG